rnacentral:rRNA from 1 species
UACGGGGGGCGAAGCGUUGUUCGGAAUUACUGGGCGUAAAGGGCCAGUAGGCGGCCAACUAAGUCGGAUGUGAAAUCCCCAGGCUUAACCUGGGAACUGCAUCCGAUACUGGAUGGCUUGAAUCCGGGAGAGGGAUGUGGAAUUCCAGGUGUAGCGGUGAAAUGCGUAGAUAUCUGGAGGAACACCGGUGGCGAAGGCGGCAUCCUGGACCGGUAUUGACGCUGAUGCGCGAAAGCCAGGGGAGCAAACGGG